GCAGUCGCCACGGGAAUACGAAGGGGGCUAGCGUUGUUCGGAAUUACUGGGCGUAAAGGGCGCGUAGGCGGCCAUUCAAGUUAGAUGUGAAAGCCCUGGGCUCAACCUAGGAAUUGCAUUUGAUACUGUUUGGCUUGAGUUCGGGAGAGGUGAGUGGAAUUCCCAGUGUAGAGGUGAAAUUCGUAGAUAUUGGGAAGAACACCGGUGGCGAAGGCGGCGACCUGGUCCUUGACUGACGCUGAGGCGCGAAAGCGUGGGGAGCAAACAGGAUUAGAUACCCCCGUAGUCCCUGUCUCUUAUAA
rnacentral:rRNA from 1 species